GACGGGUGAGCUAAUGCCUANGAAUCUGCCUGGUAGUGGGGGAUAACNUUCGGAAACGGACGCUAAUACCGCAUACGUCCUACGGGAGAAAGCAGGGGACCUUCGGGCCUUGCGCUAUCAGAUGAGCCUAGGUCNGAUUAGCUAGUUGGUGAGGUAAUGGCUCACCAAGGCGACGAUCCGUAACUGGUCUGAGAGGAUGAUCAGUCACACUGGAACUGAGACACGGUCCAGACUCCUACGGGAGGCAGCAGUGGGGAAUAUUGGACAAUGGGCGAAAGCCUGAUCCAGCCAUGCCGCGUGUGUGAAGAAGGUCUUCGGAUUGUAAAGCACUUUAAGUUGGGAGGAAGGGCAGUUACCUAAUACGUGAUUGUUUUGACGUUACCGACAGAAUAAGCACCGGCUAACUCUGUGCCAGCAGCCGCGGUAAUACAGAGGGUGCAAGCGUUAAUCGGAAUUACUGGGCGUAAAGCGCGCGUAGGUGGUUUGUUAAGUUGGAUGUGAAAUCCCCGGGCUCAACCUGGGAACUGCAUUCAAAACUGACUGACUAGAGUAUGGUAGAGGGUGGUGGAAUUUCCUGUGUAGCGGUGAAAUGCGUAGAUAUAGGAAGGAACACCAGUGGCGAAGGCGACCACCUGGACUGAUACUGACACUGAGGUGCGAAAGCGUGGGGAGCAACAGGAUUANAUACCCUGGUAGUCCACGCCGUAAACGA
rnacentral:rRNA from 1 species